rnacentral:rRNA from 1 species
GACAGAGGGUGCGAACGUUGUUCGGAAUUACUGGGCGUAAAGCGCGUGUAGGCGGCAGCGCAAGUCGGGCGUGAAAUCCCACGGCUCAACCGUGGAAGUGCACUCGAAACUGCGCAGCUAGAGUCCUGGAGAGGAAGGUGGAAUGCUUGGUGUAGAGGUGAAAUUCGUAGAUAUCGGGAGGAACACCGGUGGCGAAGGCGGCGACCUGGGUCGAUACUGACGCUGAGGUGCGAAAGCGUGGGGAGCAAA